rnacentral:rRNA from 1 species
GACGAACGCUGGCGGCGUGCUUAACACAUGCAAGUCGAGCGGUAAGGCCCUUUCGGGGGUACACGAGCGGCGAACGGGUGAGUAACACGUGGGUGACCUGCCCUCAGCUCUGGGAUAAGCCUGGGAAACUGGGUCUAAUACCGGAUAUGACUCCAUGACGCAUGUUGUGGGGUGGAAAGCCUUGUGCGGCUGAGGAUGGGCUCGCGGCCUAUCAGCUUGUUGGG